rnacentral:rRNA from 1 species
CCUACGGGAGGCAGCAGUGGGGAAUAUUGGUCAAUGGUCGGAAGACUGAACCAGCCAUGCCGCGUGCAGGAAGAAUGCCUUAUGGGUUGUAAACUGCUUUUAUAUGGGAAGAAUAAGGAGUACGUGUACUUUGAUGACGAUACCAUAUGAAUAAGCAUCGGCUAACUCCGUGCCAGCAGCCGCGGUAAU